AGCAAUAAAGUUUUUGUAAUAUUACAGAUGAGAUUUCCCAGCAAUGCUCUGCUGAUGACAAGGCGAUCCCAGAGUGCAUUGCUUUGGCGAACUGAAGUCCUUUUGACCUUUCAAAUCAGGAAGUGAAUGCUCUGCAAGUGUAAGUCUUUCAAAAUCACAGCA